UACUCCAAUGGGGAUGCUCUAAUGAUUAAAUUUCUGUGUUGGGUUUCUUCCAUACAUUUAUCCUUCAUUCCUCUUACUGUAUCAUUUAAUUUCUUCAUAACUGCGGUUGUUCCUCUUCUAAGAUUUUACCAAAACAAAGAAAAGCAAACAUUCUUUAAGCAAACAUUUUCAAUGUCAAUAUUUUCGCUUGAAGUUUUUUCUUGUAGCAAAAAGUUAAAAACGCUGGAGCUUUGUGAUUUCGAAACAACGAGAAGUAAAAAAAUAACGUGCAUUUGUUUUGUGUUCUUUUCCUUGUCCUUCGU